UGUCAUCAAACAGCCCUUAUAGAUAUGUAUUUUGUUUAUAUAUUGCUGGUUUAACCAUUAGUACGUUUGAAUUGGGGAUACAAGCUUGGAUAUGUUAUAUUUUGUUGUAUAUAGAGAAUCUCGGGUAUGUCCAGCAUAGGAUAACAUGUAUUUUUUGGUUUAACAUUUGGAUGAGUUGUAUUGUUAGGUUGCAUGAAUCGGUCUUAGCCAAGAACAUGGGUUAUGUAAUAUAUUAACUUCACUAUUUUAGUGCUAAUGUUAAUGAAGUUAAUGUUGAUUUAUGUUUAGUUUGUAAUGGAUGAUUUGUAAGUUCCUCAAAUUUGGUGGAAAUUAGGUCAUGUGAGCAAGCUAGGAUUGAUGAUUUCUAUAUUUAAAUAAAAAAAAUUCCAAAUGUGCCACACUUUUACACUUGUGCUGAAGCUUUAUUGUAUUUAUUAAAACAUAAUAGAGUGGCACAAUUUUAAAGUUGUGGUGCCUUUGCUUUAACAUUUAUACAGCAAUCUAAGCCUUUAAAAUAGCAAUUGUGCCCAUCUUACACCAUACAUUCAAUAGCCUCUAUUAGAGGUGAGACACAAAAAGGGUUGUAUUUGUGUUUUAGCCUUUGGGCACCAAACAUCCUAUUGUGUGCUAUCAUCAAACGCAACGCCUAUAGAGUGCACAAAUAGAAAUAUAGUUGUUGUACUGUUACUAUUGGUCUAUGGGCACAAUUAUUGGUGUUUUUUUGCCUCAAAGGGCACAUAUAAUUUAUUGUGCACAGUGCUCAUAUUUUUUUAGUGGAUAUAUAGAAGCAAACUGAGAUGUACA
rnacentral:lncRNA from 1 species